rnacentral:rRNA from 1 species
AUUGAACGCUGGCGGCAUGCUUUACACAUGCAAGUCGAACGGUAACAGGCCUUCGGGUGCUGACGAGUGGCGAACGGGUGAGUAAUGCAUCGGAACGUGCCCAAUCGUGGGGGAUAACGUAGCGAAAGUUACGCUAAUACCGCAUAAGCCCUGAGGGGGAAAGCAGGGGAUCGCAAGACCUUGCGCGAAUGGAGCGGCCGAUGUCAGAUUAGCUAGUUGGUGGGGUAAAGGCCUACCAAGGCGACGAUCUGUAGCGGGUCUGAGAGGAUGAUCCGCCACACUGGGACUGAGACACGGCCCAGACUCCUACGGGAGGCAGCAGUGGGGAAUUUUGGACAAUGGGCGCAAGCCUGAUCCAGCCAUGCCGCGUGCGGGACGAAGGCCUCGGUUGUAACCG